rnacentral:rRNA from 1 species
UUAAACGUCCAUACCGCGUUUAAUACAGCACUUCUCGUUCGAUAACCGAAUUUAAGCAAUGUCGGGCGCGGUCAGUACUUGUAUGGGUGACCGCCUGGGAACACCGCGUGACGUUACGU